rnacentral:rRNA from 1 species
GACGAACGCUGGCGGCGUGCCUAAUACAUGCAAGUAGAACGCACAGUUUAUACCGUAGCUUGCUCCACCAUAGACUGUGAGUUGCGAACGGGUGAGUAACGCGUAGGUAACCUGCCUGGUAGCGGGGGAUAACUAUUGGAAACGAUAGCUAAUACCGCAUAAUAUUAAUUAUUGCAUGAUAAUUAAUUGAAAGGUGCAAUUGCACCACUACCAGAUGGACCUGCGUUGUAUUAGCUAGUAGGUGAGGUAACGGCUCACCUAGGCGACGAUACAUAGCCGACCUGAGAGGGUGAUCGGCCACACUGGGACUGAGACACGGCCCAGACUCCUACGGGAGGCAGCAGUAGGGAAUCUUCGGCAAUGGACGAAAGUCUGACCGAGCAACGCCGCGUGAGUGAAGAAGGUUUUCGGAUCGUAAAGCUCUGUUGUAAGAGAAGAACGGGUGUGAGAGUGGAAAGUUCACACUGUGACGGUAUCUUACCAGAAAGGGACGGCUAACUACGUG